UACGGAGGGUGCAAGCGUUAAUCGGAAUUACUGGGCGUAAAGCGCGCGUAGGCGGCUGGAUAAGUCGAUUGUGAAAGCCUUGGGCUCAACCUGAGAAUUGCAGUCGAGACUGUUCGGCUAGAGUGUGGUAGGGGAGACUGGAAUUCCUGGUGUAGCGGUGAAAUGCGCAGAUAUCAGGAGGAACACCGAUGGCGAAGGCAGGUCUCUGGGCCAAUACUGACGCUGAGAAGCGAAAGCGUGGGGAGCGAACAGG
rnacentral:rRNA from 1 species